AGUUUUAUCUCAGACUGCUGUGCUAGCAAUCAGGGAGACUCCGUGGGCGUAGGACCCUCCGAGCCAGGUGCGGGAUAUAAUCUCGUUGUGGGCUGUUUUUUAAGCCCAUCGGAAAAGCGCAGUAUUCAGGUGGGAGUGACCCGAUUUUCCAGGUGCCGUCCGUCACCCCUUUCUUUGACUCAGAAAGGGAACUUCCUGACCCCUUGCGCUUCCCAAGUGAGGCAGUGCCUCGCCCUGCUUUGGCUCGCACAUGGUGCGCGCACCCACUGACCUGUGCCCACUGUCUGGCACUCCCUAGUGAGAUGAACCCAGUACCUCAGAUGGAAAUGCAGAAAUCACCCGUCUUCUGUGUCGCUCACGCUGGGAGCUGUAGACCGGAGCUGUUCCUAUUCGGCCAUCUUGGCUCCUCCGUCAGCUUUACCUUUAAAAACAUUAUGUUUUUAAGUUUGAAGCUAUUUUCGUCUUCUUUCAGAGGCCAAAUAGGUGGUUUCAGCAUUUUGUUGAAAGCAUCUUCCAAAAUUGUAAAUGUAGAAACACAAGAAUGGGCAUUUGGCAAAAGUAGCAUCAAAAAGCAUGUCCCAGAGCGAAAGCCAAGGAGUCUGGCAGACCUGAAGAGGAUUUGGGGAAGAAAAUAAACACUAGCAAUCAGUCCAAUUAGAUGUAGCUGUAAGGUAAGUGUUUUUGUUGAAGGGGCUAUUCGUCUGUGCUUAAACAUUUUUUAUUUUAUUCACAUCAUAUAUGUUGUGCAGAAAACCUUAUUAGUUGUUCCCACAACAACUGAAUAUAAUGCCACAUUUUAUGAAUGAUCCAUAAGCCUUAGUAAUAUUAUGAAAUAAUCUUUAAAAUUAAACUUGUGUAUUCGUUGUCAUUUUGAAAAGAGCAUGUUAAAAAUUUAAUUUAUAAUGUUGUGUGAAUUUUAAUCUGAUGUGUGAAAUUAUAGAAACCACAUAAAGUCUAAACAUAAAUAGAUUUUGUAUGUUACUCUUCCCAAGUAACCUUCAUGUAAGGCUAGCCAUCUUUAUAGUCUACUGAAAACUCUUUUAAAAAUUAUUUGUGUAUGCUACAUAACAUGCAUGUAUACAUCUGUCUUUGUCAUUUGCAUUAAAAAUUGUUAAUAUUGUUUAUCAAUGUGUAAUUAUUUUACAGGAAGAAGAUUUAAAUUGUAUGGCACUUUGUCUUCUUGAUGUUAUAUAAAAACAUACUACCUGAGAUGGCUCAUACCGGUGUGAUUUUCCAGGUAAAUUUAUAGUCUAGUAAUUGGAUAUUAUGAACUGAUAAAAAUAAUGCCAAGAUAACUGAAAAUAUUAAUAGAUUCUGAUCUUUUAUUGCCUGUGAAAGUUUGUUAACUUAUCAAGUAGAUCUGAGAAAAUGAGUUUUACAAGCUAUAUCAACUGAUAGUAUAAAAAUUAUUUAAUAGAUCAUCUUUCCUUUAUACGUAAUAUGACUGUAUACU
ensembl:lncRNA novel transcript